GGCUGGUGUGGGUAGGUGGGAUCCCUGCCGUGGCAGGGACAACUUCCUCUUCAUGCCUGUUCAUGGAUGACCGAAUCUCGCAUUUCGUCAUCUCACCUUCGGUUCCCUGUGUUGCAUACCUUCGCGACGGUAUCCUGUCGGCUAGAAUCGCCCCGUUUCGCCCUACGUUGCGAGUAACAUCGCGACCGAAGGCGAACCGAAAAGCAUUCAUCGCGUUCCACCCCGUUCGCGUUACGCGUUGCGGGGACCGGCCCACGAUGACGUGCUCGAAUUCUCGGAUGCGGAACACAAUGUGGGCACGAGGACGUCGAUCCUCCGUUUGCCCCCGAACAAGCGUUCUACGCUCUGUGCGAACGACGUUCUUUCUCGUGCUGGGCUUCCGUCCACACGAGGUCGACGUCGCAGAGGAAUGCUACCUGGUUGAUCCUGCCAGUAGUCAUAU
rnacentral:misc_RNA from 1 species